rnacentral:rRNA from 1 species
UACGUAGGUGGCAAGCGUUGUCCGGAUUUACUGGGCGUAAAGGGCGUGCAGGCGGUUCGUUAAGUUCGAGGUGAAAGCUCCCGGCUCAACUGGGAGAGGUCCUCGGAUACUGGCGGACUUGAGGGAGGCAGAGGAAAGUGGAAUUCCCGGUGUAGUGGUGAUAUGCGUAGAUAUCGGGAGGAACACCAGUGGCGAAGGCGGCUUUCUGGGCCUUACCUGACGCUGAGACGCGAAAGCGUGGGGAGCGAACCGG